UGAUAGAACUGGAGGAUGUGUCUGUGUUUCCUGUUGGGUUUUUCUCAUCUCUUACAUCAUACAAACUUCAAUUUUUACCUUGAAUACAGGGGUAGUAGGGGUGGUUUUACUACGUUGCCCAGGCUGGAGGGUGGUGGUUUUUAUAUUCCUUGUGUGAGGGGUGUCUGUGAUAUUUGGAAUUUGAGAAUGGAUUUAGACAAUGC
rnacentral:lncRNA from 1 species